rnacentral:rRNA from 1 species
GAUGAACGCUAGCGGCAGGCUUAACACAUGCAAGUCGAGGGGCAGCAUGAGACGGAGAUUCGUCAAAGUCUUGAUGGCGACCGGCGCAAGGGUGCGUAACGCGUGAGCAACUUGCCCGUUUCAGGGGGAUAACCGGUGGAAACGCCGACUAAUACCCCAUAGCAUUGAUUUAAGGCAUCUUUUAUCAAUUAAAGAAUUUCGGAUAAGGAUAGGCUCGCGUGACAUUAGCUAGACGGCGGGGUAACGGCCCACCGUGGCUACGAUGUCUAGGGGUUCUGAGAGGAAGGUCCCCCANACUGGAACUGAGACACGGUCCAGACUCCUACGGGAGGCAGCAGUGAGGAAUAUUGGUCAAUGGUCUGACGACUGAACCAGCCAUGCCGCGUGAAGGUCACGGCCCUAUGGGUCUUAAACUCUUUUGCGAGGGAGCAAUAAGGUCUACGUGUAGGCCGAUGAGAGUACCUCGCGAAUAAGCAUCGGCUAAC